rnacentral:sRNA from 1 species
GUUUCUCCAGUGAGGGGAAGGAUGAGAAGCUUCGACCAAGGUUCGAUUCGAGCGUAGCGAGAAAGCGUUGCCGCAGGCAACGACCCGAAGGGCGAGGCGCAACGCGCCGAGUAAUCCUUCCCCCACCACCA